AGGUCAUAUUGCGGGCAGUUUCUGAGUAACCCCUUUUACCUGUCCCACCCUUCAUACAAAGAUUCUCCACUUUGUUGUUCGAAGUUGGCUAUGUUUUUCUUCAAUUU